ACGAGCGGCGAACGGGUGAGUAACACGUGGGUGAUCUGCCUCGCACUUCGGGAUAAGCCUGGGAAACUGGGUCUAAUACCGGAUAUGACCUGCUGUCGCAUGGCGGUGGGUGGAAAGAUUUAUCGGUGCGAGAUGGGCCCGCGGCCUAUCAGCUUGUUGGUGGGGUAAUGGCCUACCAAGGCGACGACGGGUAGCCGGCCUGAGAGGGCGACCGGCCACACUGGGACUGAGACACGGCCCAGACUCCUACGGGAGGCAGCAGUGGGGAAUAUUGCACAAUGGGCGAAAGCCUGAUGCAGCGACGCCGCGUGAGGGAUGACGGCCUUCGGGUUGUAAACCUCUUUCGACAGGGACGAAGCGCAAGUGACGGUACCUGUAGAAGAAGCACCGGCCAACUACGUGCCAGCAGCCGCGGUAAUACGUAGGGUGCGAGCGUUGUCCGGAAUUACUGGGCGUAAAGAGCUUGUAGGCGGUUUGUCGCGUCGUCCGUGAAAACUUGGGGCUCAACCCCAAGCUUGCGGGCGAUACGGGCAGACUUGAGUACUGCAGGGGAGACUGGAAUUCCUGGUGUAGCGGUGAAAUGCGCAGAUAUCAGGAGGAACACCGGUGGCGAAGGCGGGUCUCUGGGCAGUAACUGACGCUGAGAAGCGAAAGCGUGGGUAGCGAACAGGAUUAGAUACCCUGGUAGUCCACGCCGUAAACGGUGGGCGCUAGGUGUGGGUUUCCUUCCACGGGAUCCGUGCCGUAGCUAACGCAUUAAGCGCCCCGCCUGGGGAGUACGGCCGCAAGGCUAAAACUCAAAGGAAUUGACGGGGGCCCGCACAAGCGGCGGAGCAUGUGGAUUAAUUCGAUGCAACGCGAAGAACCUUACCUGGGUUUGACAUACACCGGAAACCUGCAGAGAUGUAGGCCCCCUUGUGGUCGGUGUACAGGUGGUGCAUGGCUGUCGUCAGCUCGUGUCGUGAGAUGUUGGGUUAAGUCCCGCAACGAGCGCAACCCUUGUCCUGUGUUGCCAGCGGAUUAUGCCGGGGACUCGCAGGAGACUGCCGGGGUCAACUCGGAGGAAGGUGGGGACGACGUCAAGUCAUCAUGCCCCUUAUGUCCAGGGCUUCACACAUGCUACAAUGGCCGGUACAGAGGGCUGCGAUACCGUGAGGUGGAGCGAAUCCCUUAAAGCCGGUCUCAGUUCGGAUCGGGGUCUGCAACUCGACCCCGUGAAGUUGGAGUCGCUAGUAAUCGCAGAUCAGCAACGCUGCGGUGAAUACGUUCCCGGGCCUUGUACACACCGCCCGUCACGUCAUGAAAGUCGGUAACACCCGAAGCCGGUGGCCUAACCCCUUGUGGGAGGGAGCCGUCG
rnacentral:rRNA from 1 species